UACGGAGGGUGCGAGCGUUGUCCGGAAUCAUUGGGCGUAAAGGGCGCGUAGGUGGCCCGGUGAGUCUUUGGUGAAAGCGCGGGGCUCAACCCUGCGUCGGCCAGGGAUACUGCCGCGGCUCGAGCACUGUAGAGGCAGGCGGAAUUCCGGGUGUAGCGGUGGAAUGCGUAGAGAUCCGGAAGAACACCGGUGGCGAAGGCGGCCUGCUGGGCAGUGGCUGACGCUGAUGCGCGAAAGCCAGGGGAGCAAACGGG
rnacentral:rRNA from 1 species